CUUUGGUUGGUCAGAUGAACGUGACAGCAACAAAUAAAUCAACUUUAUGCAAUAUGUGUCUCAAGGGAAAAAACGAUAAGGAGAUCAUGAGGGAGAUUCAAGCUCCAAUGAGACAAGCUAACUUACUUGCCAUGUCUUGAUGGAAACAUAUUCACAAGGGCGACGCACUCAUUCUUUUACAGGAAUGACGAAGAGGAUGAAGAGUGACUGACACCACUCACA